AAAUCCUACGGGAGGCAGCAGUGGGGAAUAUUGCACAAUGGGGGAAACCCUGAUGCAGCGACGCCGCGUGAGUGAAGAAGUAUCUCGGUACGUGAAGCUCUAUCAGCAGGGAAGAUAAUGACGGUACCUUACCAAGAAUCCCCUGCUAACUCCGUGCCAUCAUCCUCUUUAAUACUUAUUUUUCAAUCUUUAUCCGUAUUUACUUUUUUUAAAUUUAGCUUAUACGUCAUCACAAGUCUUGAGUGAAAUCCCUGUGCUUAACCCCUGAACUGCUUUUUAAACUUUGCUUCUUAAUUUCAUUAUGG
rnacentral:rRNA from 1 species